rnacentral:rRNA from 1 species
AGUGAACGCUGGCGGUAGGCCUAACACAUGCAAGUCGAACGGCAGCACAGGAGAGCUUGCUCUCUGGGUGGCGAGUGGCGGACGGGUGAGGAAUACAUCGGAAUCUACUCUGUCGUGAGGGAUAACGUAGGGAAACUUACGCUAAUACCGCAUACGACCUACGGGUGAAAGCAGGGGACCUUCGGUCCUUGCGCGAUUGAAUGAGCCGAUGUCGGAUUAGCUAGUUGGCGGGGUAAAGGCCCACCAAGGCGACGAUCCGUAGCUGGUCUGAGAGGAUGAUCAGCCACACGGUGACUGAGACACGGUCCAGACUCCUACGGGAGGCAGCAGUGGGGAAUAUUGGACAAUGGGCGCAAGCCUGAUCCAGCCAUACCGCGUGGGUGAAGAAGGCCUUCGGGUUGUAAAGCCCUUUUGUUGGGAAAGAAAUCCAGCUGGCUAAUACCCGGUUGGGAUGACGGUACCCAAAGAAUAAGCACCGGCUAACUUCGUGCCAGCAGCCGCAGUAA